CAAAGAGGACAAUUCCACAAAGCAAAUAUAGAUGUGCAGUCAGAUUCUUUUGUUAUUCUAUGAGUAGUUUCCGACUGCUGAACAAUUUUUCAAGAAGUCUUUUUUUUUUUUAAUUCAUUACUUCUCGCUUUGUGAAUUACUUUCAAUCAAUGUAGAGGAAAUUUGUUUUUGGUUCUUCUUUGAAGUUGAAGAUAGUUUGAUAUUUCCUAAAUAGAUGCAAAACUACAGUUUAUGAAAAUAUAAUCUGGUGAAAAUUUGAAAAAAUUUCAAGUGCUUGGAGGAAUUUCGGCAAGACCUCAAGUAUCUUCUGCCAUAACUUCUAAUAGAUUGAUGUCUCGUGCCAUUAUAUCAAACAUUUGAGAAGAGUAGCCAUGCGACUCACAAAAAAUUCAGCAGAUCUGUCAGAUUUUCAAAGAGGUUGUAUUGUUGGGCAAGCUGAGGCUGGUCUUAGCCAGAGAAAAAUUGCCGAAAAUCUUCAAAUUCCUCUUGCUACAGUUAAUAGAAUUAUAGUGCAAUUCAAAAGCCAAGGAAAAGAAUCAACAGAUUCUCAUACCAGCUGGCCUGGGCCCAUGGAAAGGAAGCUUCACUGUUUU